rnacentral:rRNA from 1 species
GAUGAACGCUGGCGGCGUGCUUAAUACAUGCAAGUCGAGCGAACGGACGAGAAGCUUGCUUCUCUGACGUUAGCGGCUGACGGGUGAGUAACACGUGGAUAACCUACCUAUAAGACUGGGAUAACUUCGGGAAACUGGCGCUAAUACCGGAUAAUAUUUUGAACCGCAUGGUUCAAAAGUGAAAGACGGUCUUGCUGUCACUUCUAGAUGGAUCCGCGCUGCAUUAGCUAGUUGGUAAGGUAACGGCUUACCAAGGCAACGAUGCAUAGCCGACAUGAGAGGGUGGUCGGCCACACGGGAACUGAGACACGGUGCAGACUCCUACGGGAGGCAGCAGUAGGGAAUCUUCCGCAAUGGGCGAAAGCCUGACGGAGCAACGCGGCGGGAGUGAUGAAGGUCUUCGGGUCGUAAAACUCUGUUAUUAGGGAAGAACAUAUGUGUAAGUAACUGUGCACAUCUUGACGGUACCUAAUCAGAAAGCCACGGCUAACUACGUG